rnacentral:rRNA from 1 species
GGACAGUGGCAAAAGGGUGAGUAACACGUAGGUGACCUACCCCGAAGUGGGGAAUAACUGCUCGAAAGAGCAGCCGAUACCGCAUGUGAUCGGUUAUUCGGUUAGCCGAUGAAAGACCUCGGUCGCUUCGGGAGGGGCCUGCGUCCGAUUAGCUAGUUGGUGGGGUAACGGCUCACCAAGGCGACGAUCGGUAGCUGGUCUGAGAGGAUGGUCAGCCACACUGGCACUGAGACACGGGCCAGACUCCUACGGGAGGCAGCAGUAAGGAAUAUUCCACAAUGGGGCGCAAGCCUGAUGGAGCGACGCCGCGUGGACGACGAAGGCCUUCGGGUUGUAAAGUCCUUUUCUGAAGGAAGAGACCAGGACGGUACUUCAGGAAUAAGUCUCGGCUAACUACGUGCCAGCAGCCGCGGUAAUACGUAGGAGACGAACGUUAUCCGGAUUCACUGGGGCGUAAAGCGCGCGCAGGCGGUGCUGUAAGUUUGGGCGUGAAAUACCCCUGGCUUAACUGGGGGUGGGCCCGCUCAAUACUGCAGUGCUCGAGGGCAGGAGAGGGAAGCGGAAUUCCCGGUGGAGUAGUGAAAUGCUUAGAUAUCGGGAGGAACACCAGUGGCGAAAGCGGCUUCCUGGACUGUUCCUGACGCUGAGGCGCGAAAGCCAGGGGAGCGAACCGAAUUAGAUACUCGGGUAGUCCUGGCCCUAAACGUGGACUAGGGGGGUGGGGGG